rnacentral:rRNA from 1 species
CCUACGGGUGGCAGCAGUGAGGAAUAUUGGUCAAUGGACGAGAGCCUGAACCAGCCAAGUCGCGUGAAGGAUGACUGCCCUAUGGGUUGUAAACUUCUUUUAUAUGGGAAUAAAACAGGGUAUGCAUACCCUCUUGUAUGUACCAUAUGAAUAAGGAUCGUCUAACUCCGUGCCAGCAGCCGCGGUAAUACGGAGGAUCCGAGCGUUAUCCGGAUUUAUUGGGUUUAAAGGGAGCGUAGGUGGAUUGUUAAGUCAGAUGUGAAAGUUUGCGGCUCAACCGUAAAAUUGCAGUUGAAACUGGCAGUCUUGAGUACAGUAGAGGUGGGUGGAAUUCGUGGUGUAGGGGUGAAAUGCUUAGAUAUCACGAAGAACUCCGAUUGCGAAGGCGACUCACUGGACUGCAACUGACGCUGAUGCUCGAAAGUGUGGGUAUCAAACAGGAUUAGAUACCCUUGUAGUC